rnacentral:rRNA from 1 species
GACGAACGCUGGCGGCGUGCUUAACACAUGCAAGUCGAACGAAGUGGCGCACGGGUGAGUAACGCGUAAUCAACCUGCCCUUCAGAGGGGGACAACAGUUGACAACGACUGCUAAUACCUCAUACUGAAGGAGGGGAUUGCGUCUGAUUAGCUAGUUGGAGGGGUAACGGCCCACCAAGGCGAUGAUCAGUAGCCGGUGCGGGAGGAAGAACGGCCAAAUUGGGACUGAGAAACGGCCCAGAAUCCGACGGGGAGCAGCAGUGGGGAAUCUUCCGAAAUGGACGAAAGUCUAACGGAGCAAAGGCGGGGGAGUGAUGACGGCCUUCAGGUUGGUAAGGUCUGUUAAGCGGGACGCGGUACCGGAAUAGAAAGCCACGGCUAACUACGUGCCAGCAGCCGCGGUAAUUC